GUGGGGAAUAUUGGGCAAUGGGGGAAACCCUGACCCAGCAACGCCGCGUGAGGGAAGAAGGUUUUCGGAUUGUAAACCUCUGUCCUUGGUGACGAAGGAAGUGACGGUAACCAAGGAGGAAGCCCCGGCUAACUACGUGCCAGCAGCCGCGGUAAUACGUAGGGGGCAAGCGUUGUCCGGAAUGACUGGGCGUAAAGGGCGUGUAGGCGGCCGAUUAAGUCUGGAGUGAAAGUCCUGCUUUCAAGGUGGGAAUUGCUUUGGAGACUGGUUGGCUUGAGUGCGGAAGAGGUAAGUGGAAUUACCAGUGUAGCGGUGAAAUGCGUAGAGAUUGGGAGGAACACCAGUGGCGAAGGCGACUUACUGGGCCGUAACUGACGCUGAGGCGCGAAAGCGUGGGGAGCGAACAGGAUUAGAUACCCCAGUAGUCC
rnacentral:rRNA from 1 species